UACAGAGGGUGCGAGCGUUAAUCGGAAUUACUGGGCGUAAAGGGCUCGUAGGUGGCCAACUAAGUCAGACGUGAAAUCUCUCGGCUUAACCGGGGAACUGCGUCUGAUACUGGAUGGCUAGAGUUUGGGAGAGGGAUGCGGAAUUCCAGGUGUAGCGGUGAAAUGCGUAGAUAUCUGGAGGAACACCGGUGGCGAAGGCGGCAUCCUGGACCAACACUGACGCUGAGGAGCGAAAGCCAGGGGAGCAAACGGG
rnacentral:rRNA from 1 species